rnacentral:rRNA from 1 species
UUGACGGGACCCGCACAAGCAGCGGAGCGUGUGGUUUAAUUCGUUGCUACACGAAGAACCUUACCUGGGUUUGACAUAUAGGUUGUAGGGGACUGAAAGGGACCGACCCUUCGGGGAGCCUAUACAGGUGUUGCAUGGCUGUCGUCAGCUCGUGUCGUGAGAUGUUCGGUUAAGUCCGCUAACGAGCGCAACCCUCGUCGUAUGUUAUAUGUGUCAUACGAGACUGCCGGUAAAAGCCGGAGGAAGGUGAGGAUGAUGUCAAGUCAGCAUGACCUUUAUAUCCAGGGCUACACACACGCUACAAUGGUCUGUACAAUGGGUAGCCAAGCCGCGAGGCGGAGCCAAUCCUGAAAGCAGGCCUCAGUUCAGAUUGCAGUCUGCAACUCGACUGCAUGAAGCCGGAGUUGCUAGUAACCGCAGGUCAGCAAUACUGCGGUGAAUACGUUCCCGGGUCUU